CAAACCAUUAGAACGGAGGUCUCUUUUAACUUCUCGUCAAACACGCCUGAGGAACGUGUUCCUUUUGUUUGUCAGUAAAAACUAAAACUAUAAAGUAAACAGAAUUUUACCAGAUAUAAACUUUGGGACAUAAAUUUGUAGCAUCAUUUUUUUGCUCUUUUGGGAGAAAAAUAAGGUAUAAACCACCAAGUUUCUCCUGAGUCAACCUAAUAUCUUGGCACGUGUCCCUCUUCUUUGCUUCUCAUCUGUUUAGCUUUUAUUUCUCCAUACAGUAUAUUGCUGCUGCAUCUCAUCUGGGUUAAUGAUUAACUCCUGUAAACACAGACUGAGAGCUGAAAUGGACUGAAUCCAGUUAACCAGAGGACUCUGGCUUUACCAAAACAAGCAGGAUAUCUGAAAAGAAGCCUCUUGGAUGAUGGGAGAUUCUUGGAAGCUGAUGGGCUCGUGGUCUUCAUCAGGCUGCAUAACAAAAACAUAAUGUUCUUUUUCACUCAACAUUGUUGCCACCCUGAUGAAGGAUGAAGUACCUUGGAAAGAAACUGGAGGUUAGAUGAUGAGGUGCGAUGAGGCUUUGACUUGACGAACAAGUGCUUGUGAGAGGAAGAGAAAAGAAGCGAGGGAAGACAGAGACAGAAAGCCAACUUGUGUCUUUGACAUCCAGUGAGAGAGGUGAGGAAACCAAGCUGGGAGUAAAACCACUUUUUCACAAGAUGGAGAAAGUCUGGCACAAAUCUUUCGCUCUGGGCGUGUUUUUAUUACUCUCCAAUAUCACAGGACGCCAGAUCACAGGCAUAAAUGCAAAAAAAAAAAAAAAAAGAGCUUGAACUUUGAAUCCAGGGAUUAAAAAAGCAUUGAAGUGUAAAUCCAUCACAGAAAAACCAUCCAGUUUUAUGAUGUUCAUAAGCUGAGAUAAAACAAGAAUGAAAGGAAUAAAGACACAUGAUUCAUGUGAUAAAUUAUAUCAUCACUUAUUUACAACAGCUGAUUUAGUGUUGGGAGGCUGGUGUCCAGGAGGAGGAUUUGGCACCAUCUCCCGUCUCAGACUUUUAUUUUGAAAUACUGACCCAUAAAAACUCCCCGAAAAUAUUUGAUGACACCUGUAAUCUAUAAAUAUGCAUAUGUAUUAUAUAUAUUUAUAUUUAUUUAAAAUUAUAUAUUUUUUAAAUACCAAUGGGAAUUAACAACUUAGUAAACUAUAAUAAUUUAAUAACUAAUCACUAUGUUUAUGAAAUACUAUAUUUUUAAUAUCUAUAACUAAUAAUUAUAAAUGGCGACAUAAUAAACUAUAAUUUAAUAAGCUGUUUUUUUAAAUGGAAUUGCUGUAUUUGUAAUAAUUAAUAAAUGAAAUGUACUUUUCAACUACAACUUAAUAAUUAAUAACUAUACUUACUAUAUUUUAAUACCUAUAAUAACCAUAACUACUAACUAAACCCUUUCAUGCAUGAAUUAUGACAACCUUUAAGUGUUUUUAUUACUCUUUAGGCAUGAAAAAAGUAACUUAAUUUUGUUUAAACAUGCAUUUUUCAAGGAGUUUUUCACAUGUCCACUCGGGUGGACAGCAUGCGUUUGAGUUUUCAACUGUAUUUAAAAAAACAAUGAAUAAAAUGAUAUAUUAUGUAAAAAACUAUAAAAUAAUGUAUAUUUUUAAUGCUGGAAAACUAAUGUGUUCACAUAUUUUAUUGCUCAAUACAAUGCAAAAGCGUUGAAUAUAUAGAUAUAUAUUCAUAUUUUUAUAUAUAUAUUUAUAUAAAUAUAACUUUCACUCACAUAAUGGAAUUAAUCUGCACAAAAUAUUGUUUUUGUUACAAAGUUACAUUCUAAUAACAUAAAUCAAUUGAUUUACAGCCAAGAAGUUACUGCAGAUGAAGCAUUUUCAAGAACAAGUUGCAGUAAUAGUAUGAAUUGUAGUAAUAUAGAAUAUAACUAGCAUUGCAUGAUGUCCAAUUUAGUGGACAGAUGAUUAAUCGUAAUUUCCUCCCAAUAUAAAAUCAAUACUUGGACAUUUUAACAGUUAUAUUACUCCUUAGUUGUUACUUGAGGUUACCAGAUUUUAUUUACCUGCAAGUGUCUCUCUCUCAUUCUCUCUCCAUAUAUAUAUAUAUAUAUAUAUAUAUAUAUAUAAUGUGACUUUUUCACAUGUUAAAUGGUGAUUAGAGCUGCAACUAAUGAUCAUUUUUCUUUGAAACAUAGCUUUUAAGCCAACAUGGAGGAAAAGUCCUUCAAGACUUAAGAAAAAAAUGGAAAUUUGAACGUCUACAAUUCCAUGACAACUCCAUCUGCUGAAGAAGAUCGUGUGAUAUGAUGACAUGAGCUCCCGAACAGCUACUAAAUGAACCUCAUGGUUUCCUCCGGCGCUGUCUCCAGAGACACACACCCUCUCUGGAUCAAUGCUGUAGCGUUCUAAAACCUGAGAGGACAGGAAAGCCCGUGACGCCGCUAACGCAUCGUGGUACUGAUCUGGGAACACCGCCUCUGGAGCAAGACGAACUUACUCGACCGACAUGACGACAGAGUCCAGGUCCUCCGCCAUUUUCCGACAAAGACGGUCGUAUGAUCGCAUCCCUGUGAAGCAGGUGGACUCGGCUUUUUUAUUAGACUCACCUGUAGAUGAGAAUGAAAUGCAACUACAACUGUGGAAAAACAAAAUAUAAAGUCUUUCAGAGUUUUAAAAUCAGCACUCACGUCCGCUGCCAAGGGCCCAUCCUCCACCGUGGAAAUAUAUGACUCCCCUUUUCAGCUGCUUCCCCCCCUUUGGCUGGAAGACCCGGACGGGCACGCCGCCCAGCGUGGAGUCCGUCACGUGCACGGCGGGGCAGGAGCGAGCCUCAAUCACCUCCACCCAGGACACCACCCUGUUCAACAGGUGGACCCGAUGGCACACACCCACCCUGACAGCUCUCCGCUUCCUCUCACGUUAACCUGUCCUGCUCUGCUCUCGUGUCGGCGCAUCCUUCAGCUCUCACCGCCUGCAUGAAGCUCCGGAACAGCGCGUCCAGCAGCAUCAGCUUCCACGGCUCGCU